rnacentral:rRNA from 1 species
GAGUUUGAUCGUGGCUCAGAUUGAACGCUGGCGGCAUGCCUCACACAUGCAAGUCGAACGGCAGCACGGGAGCUUGCUCCUGGUGGCGAGUGGCGAACGGGUGAGUAAUGCAUCGGAACGUAUCCUGGAGUGGGGGAUAACGUAGCGAAAGUUACGCUAAUACCGCAUAUUCUGUGAGCAGGAAAGCGGGGGACCUUCGGGCCUCGCGCUCUUGGAGCGGCCGAUGUCGGAUUAGCUAGUUGGUGAGGUAAAGGCUCACCAAGGCGACGAUCCGUAGCAGGUCUGAGAGGAUGAUCUGCCACACUGGAACUGAGACACGGUCCAGACUCCUACGGGAGGCAGCAGUGGGGAAUUUUGGACAAUGGGGGCAACCCUGAUCCAGCCAUGCCGCGUGAGUGAAGAAGGCCUCGG